rnacentral:rRNA from 1 species
CCUACGGGCGGCAGCAGUGAGGACUAUUGGUCAAUGGGCGCGAGCCUGAACCAGCCAAGUAGCGUGAAGGAUGACUGCCCUACGGGUUGUAAACUUCUUUUAUAAAGGAAUAAAGUGAGGCACGUGUGCCUUUUUGUAUGUACUUUAUGAAUAAGGAUCGGCUAACUCCGUGCCAUCAGCCGCGGUAAUACGGAGGAUCCGAGCUUUAUCCGGAUUUAUUGGGUUUAAAGUGAGCGUAGAUGGGUUGUUAAGUCAGUUGUGAAAGUUUGCGGCUCAACCUUAAAAUUGCAACUGAUACUGGCAGUCUUGAGUACAGUUGAGGUAGGCGGAAUUCGUGGUGUAGCGGUGAAAUGCUUAGAUAUCACGAAGAACUCCGAUUGCGAAGGCAGCUUACUAAACUGCCACUGACAUUGAUGCUCGAAAGUGUGGGUAUCAAACAGGAUUAGAUACCCUAGUGGUC